AUUGAACGCUGGCGGCAUGCCUUACACAUGCAAGUCGAACGGUAACGCGGGGCAACCUGGCGACGAGUGGCGAACGGGUGAGUAAUGUAUCGGAACGUGCCCAGUUGUGGGGGAUAACUGCUCGAAAGAGCAGCUAAUACCGCAUACGAACUGAGGGUGAAAGCGGGGGAUCGCAAGACCUCGCGCAAUUGGAGCGGCCGAUAUCAGAUUAGGUAGUGGGUGGGGUAAAGGCUCACCAAGCCGACGAUCUGUAGCUGGUCUGAGAGGACGACCCGCCACGCUGGGACUGAUACACGGCCCAGACUCCUACGGGAGUCAGCAGUGGGGAAUUUUGGACAAUGGACGAAAGUCUGAUCCAGCCAUGCCGCGUGCGGGAAGAAGGCCUUCGGGUUGUAAACCGCUUUUGUCAGGGAAGAAAAUGCUCCUUCUAAUAUAGGGGGCUCAUGACGGUACCUGAAGAAUAAGCACCGGCUAACUACGUGCCAGCCGCCGCGGUAA
rnacentral:rRNA from 1 species